AUUUGUUUCACUUCUCACAAAGCAGUGCAGAGAUAAGGGAGAAGUUAGACUAGAAAUAAAAAAUCUCAAGUGUAGAUAUGGAGAGAAAAAAAAAAAGCUUAUUUUUUUAAUUCUGCUAACCCUUUUCCUCCCAAGAUAUAACUGACUCUCUUGAAGAAGAGGAUAUCCUCAUUUGUACAGCAAACAGAUCCAUAUUUCCAUGGAAAUAAAUGGGACACAUUACUUUUGGAGCAACCUGCGUGUAAAUGAAGACGUGUAUUAUGCAUGAAAUCUUUAAUUCUGGAACAGAAGAAUUUUUGCUGUGAUGUCCUCCAGUUGUCCUCUGCUGAAAUCUGAGCUAUCAUGCUGAGGUGCAGAAGACAAAAGCAAAGUCUAGGCUGUACCUGUCUUCCGUCGAUAUCCUGGAAUACUGGUGAAUGAUCGAAAGGCCAUGUGUACAUAAUCAUAUUUGACUGGAGUAUCAAGUUGUCCUGCCUGACCUUAAUCUCUGUGAAUGUAGGAAAGAGAACUCUCACUUUCUUUUAUACUGCUUGCAGAGAAGUAUGUGUGUGCAUCUUUACCUUCAAGAAAGGAAAAAAAAAAACAACAUUGAUACAUUAUUCAUUAUUCAUGCCAGAGAAAGAGAGAGGCAGUGAUGGAGAAAAGAGAAGACAAGGCUUCUCCUUCAAGAGGAUGUUCCAGAUGCAGUACCCUGCAGGUGGUGAUUUGCUGAGACUCUGAAUAUAACUUCUCACACCAAAGAGUGGCAGCAUUUCCUUGUUAUCUAUAUUGGCAGAAUAGCAGAGCACUGAACUGAUAUUUUUGAGAAGAGAGCUAU
ensembl:lncRNA